CCCCUUAUCCGGAAUACUCUUGGUCCCAAGCAUUCUGGAUAACGGGUCCUAUACCUGUAUUAUACAUUGCAGAGGGAUCAUUCUCUAAAAUGUGCGCAGCAGAGCAAUAGCUAUUUUUUGAAAAUAUUUUUUACCCUGGAUUCCAUCGUGGUUUUCUUUUUUUAAAAAAAAAAAAUAGAAUUCGGUAAAUAUCCCCACACCACAGAUACUAAUAAUUUAUAGUUAUAUAAAUGCUGGGGACAGAGUUUGUACAGGAGGAAUCCGUUCCGUUAUCAUCUGGCUUCCAAGAAGCCAGUAACGUUCCAAUAUUGGUUUUAAAAAAUUAAAAACAAAAAAAAAUAAAAGUUUUUCAAUUUCAGGGAUUUCAUUUUUUUGCAUUUUAACAAAAGAGCUUCCUAUAUACAACUUUUACAUUCAGAUAACUGCAUUCACUUCUGGUCCAGCUGCAUCAUGUGACUGUGAGAAUCCAGACCUUACAGUGAAAGCCCCUGGCAUUAUAGAAAGAAUUACCAUUAAACACUUAAGAGGAAUUCAGGAGCCCAACUCUACUGUAACAGCACCAGGACUGAAGGUUGCCCCUCCCAGAGUUAGCCAUUUGGUUAAACGUUGGCCACAGCACCAUAGAUUUCUUCUUGCCUCUUAACCCACAGUUGUAGAAACACUGGAUAGCCAUGACUGGUAACCCUUUAUUUCUUACUUUUCCUUCAAUGGUUUCACAAAUGCCUGUAGAAUACUGACGGAGGGAAAUGCCAUGCAGGGAGAAGUGCCCCUUUGAUUGGGACAGAAAUAUAUUGAGUAUAUACUGCCUGUAAUAAAGGACAUUGCACCAAGGACAGUGGGCUCUGACUUCCAAUGGAGAGUUUAAUUCAAUCAAGUUUUUAUGGCAUGAAAAAUAUUUGUCCUUUGUAAAUUGUAAAAAAAUCUUAUUUUAAGUGAAAUUAUUCCCUUUUAUAAUGACUUUAUGCCUUAUCUUCCCUUUUGGGUUGGGUAUGGACAAUCUGUGUACCUUUAGAUGCCAUAGAACUGUAAUUCCCAGCAUCCCCGGACAGUGAUUGAAUGUCGGAAAUGCUGGGUAGGUCCUGGCAGGCCACAGGGUAACGGACCUUGCUGCAAACAGUGCACGAGACAUUCCUUUGAGUAAAUUGUACAUUUAUACAAGAGUAUGGCAUCCUGGGACUUUCCAUCAGAGGUCUUCUCUAUAGGCUUCAACAAACUACUACACCUAGUGGUCAAAGAGAGAUGUUCCUCUGUUGGAAACUAUACAGAGUGUCUUUACUAAGAUGAGCAAUAUGGCAGCCUCUAUUUGCACAAGCAAGUAUGUUCCAUGCACACAAAGCUAUGGCCUCAAUAUUGUUAACCAAAACCUGAAUUCGCUUUUGAGUAUUUUCUAAAGAAUUCUCUUUUUACUCUAUUUGACUUUGAUAAGCAAUUUUUUAGACAUUUUAUGAGAAUUCCUUUACCUGUUGCUUCCUAUGUCUUCUACUGUUAUAAGAGCAAGGGGGCGCCCUUUGGGUUAUAACUAUACAUGUGAGACUUGGAAGACUAAUCUGAUGAACGACUGUUUUAUGAUGGGAAUAGUCCGACGACCGACAUCAAUCAGUCUUCUGACACCCCUGCCUGUCCUUGGACCAGCAGAAACUACUCGAUGAAGCAGCAAACUCCCAGCCUGAGUGGGCACUCACAAAAGCUGCAGAGGGCCCAGGCUUAUUUUCUAUCAGAGUGUGUGUUGCCACUCAGCUGCCAUACUGUAACCUUAGGUGCUUUUGUAAUCAACUUCCAUAAUAAAGUUUAAUUGAAAAAACA